CAGAAGGAUCCUGUUGCAGAAGGAUCCUGUUGCAGCGUCGUUACUGCUGGCCAGUCCGGCGCACGCAAGACCUACAGCUUAUCACAACGACCCACGCGACUCCAAACCAUCAGAAUAACUGUGACGAUAAUUAUUGGACCACUACUGACCACAACCAACCUCCCUGGAUGACCAACAACCAUCCAGACCUCUCGAAGGCCCCUAACAUCUAUAUACCCUCUGAAAGUGCCGAGAAUUCCAAAUGUCACACAGUUACUGGAACCAUCUGCAGCUGGAAAUCACGCCCCUGCUGGAGCAUGAGGCAAGUCAUAGUCAGCUUCUAUGAAGAAUCUGAAGCAGCCCGAUAUCCCACACCUGGGAUCAAAACAAAACCGUAUUCUUAUACUUCUCUGUGUGUGGGUUUUUUCUUAAGAAACCAAAAUUCCAAAAUUGUCACUAUAGCCCUCAGAAGGAACCUACUUUGUAGACACUGUGAUGUUGCAAUUUUGUAUCCAGGACCUUGAGCAAAUAACUAUCUCUGAUUCAAACCAGUAGAUACUUUGUUGGCCCCAGAAAACUCACAAAAACUAAAGAGAGUAAAGUCAGAAACUUUGAAAUUGGAUGCCUAGCUUGCACAGAAAUGCCAGGGUUUAUAGCUCAUCACUCACAACUUUGUAUUUUUUG
rnacentral:lncRNA from 1 species